GAUGAAGAACUUAGCGAAAUGCGAUAAGUAGUGUGAAUUGCAGAAUUCCGUGAAUCAUCUAAUCUUUGAACGCACAUUGCGCCUUCUGGUAUUCCGGAAGGCAUGCCUGUUCGAGAGUCAUUAACAACCGUUUCGAUCCCUUUCUUUCAGAAAUUACAAAGAGGAAAAGGGUUUGGUUAUGGUGGAGGAGGGAAAGGGAGCGUUUAGCCUGUAAAAAAAGAGGCUGUGUUCCGCCUCCCCCCCAAAAUUGUACAGGCGGUCGUGUGCGCCCACGCAUCGAGGUGUUGUAAAAGCUGCCACGGCACUUUUCACCUGUGCAGUGCGAGAUUGGCCAGCCGGUUUAAAAACCCCUCCAAACAAUCAAAGGUUGACCUCGGAUCAGGUAGGGAUACCCGCUGAACUUAAGCAUAUCAAUAAGCGGAGGA
rnacentral:misc_RNA from 1 species